GUUGUCCUCUCUAGGUGUUUUUGUAUGUUUAUGGGGGGUGUUGUCCUCUCUAGGUGUUUUUGUAUGUUUAUGGGGGGUGUUUUCCUCUCUAGGUGUUUUUGUAUGUUUAUGGGGGGUGUUUUCCUCUCUAGGUGUUUUUGUAUGUUUAUGGGGGGUGUUUUCCUCUCUAGGUGUUUUUGUAUGUUUAUGGGGGGUGUUUUCCUCUAGGUGUUUUUGUAUGUUUAUGGGGGGUGUUUUCCUCUAGGUGUUUUUGUAUGUUUAUGGGGGGUGUUUUCCUCUCUAGGUGUUUUUGUAUGUUUAUGGGGGGUGUUUUCCUCUCUAGGUGUUUUUGUAUGUUUAUGGGGGGUGUUGUCCUCUAGGUGUUUUUGUAUGUUUAUGGGGGGUGUUUUCCUCUCUAGGUGUUUUUGUAUGUUUAUGGGGGGUGUUUUCCUCUCUAGGUGUUUUUGUAUGUUUAUGGGGGGUGUUUUCCUCUCUAGGUGUUUUUGUAUGUUUAUGGGGGGUGUUUUCCUCUAGGUGUUUUUGUAUGUUUAUGGGGGGUGUUUUCCUCUCUAGGUGUUUUUGUACGUCCAUUGUUGCCUACAUUGUUUCUCAAUUAGAGGCAGCUGUCUAUCGUCGUCUCUGAUUAGGAACCAUAUUUAGGCAGCCAUAUUCUGUGGGUAUUUUGUGGGUGAUUGUUCCUGUUCCAGUGUUUAGUGUUCACGCUACGGGACUGUAUCGUCGGUUUGUUGUUUUGUUCGGUGUUUAUCCCAUUAAAUAUGGACUAUCACUCUGCAUCGUGGUCCUCCUCUCUUUCACCCGAAGACAGUCGUUACAGACACGUCCCAGGAACGCAGUAUGAUUGGUCAGGAAGUCCUAGGAAGGAUGUGUGAUUGGUCAGGAAGUCCUAGGAAGGAGGUGUGAUUGGUCAGGGAGCCCCAGGAAGGAGGUGUGAUUGGUCAGGGAGCCCCAGGAAGGAGGUGUGAUUGGUCAGGGAGCCCCAGGAAGGAGGUGUGAUUGGUCAGGGAGCCCCAGGAAGGAGGUGUGAUUGGUCAGGGAGCCCCAGGAAGGAGGUGUGAUUGGUCAGGAAGUCCCAGGAAGGAGGUGUGAUUGGUCAGGGAGUCCCAGGAAGGAGGUGUGAUUGGUCAGGGAGCCCCAGGAAGGAGGUGUGAUUGGUCAGGAAGUCCUAGGAAGGAGGUGUGAUUGGUCAGGGAGCCCCAGGAAGGAGGUGUGAUUGGUCAGGGAGCCCCAGGAAGGAGGUGUGAUUGGUCAGGGAGCCCCAGGAAGGAGGUGUGAUUGGUCAGGGAGCCCCAGGAAGGAGGUGUGAUUGGUCAGGAGCCCCAGGAAGUUGUGCCGUAUUGGUCAGGG